rnacentral:tRNA from 1 species
GCUGCCGUCGUAUAAUGGGUUAAUGCGUCCGGCUUUUAACCGGGAUGAUGCAGGUUCGAGUCCUGCCGGCAGCU